UACAGAGGGGGCAAGCGUUGUUCGGAAUUACUGGGCGUAAAGCGUGCGCAGGCGGUCCGUUAAGUCAGAUGUGAAAGCCCCGGGCUCAACCUGGGAACUGCAUUUGAAACUGGCGGGCUUGAGUGUGGCAGAGGGGGGUGGAAUUCCGCGUGUAGCAGUGAAAUGCGUAGAGAUGCGGAGGAACACCGAUGGCGAAGGCAGCCCCCUGGGCCAACACUGACGCUCAGGCACGAAAGCGUGGGGAGCAAACAGG
rnacentral:rRNA from 1 species